rnacentral:rRNA from 1 species
CAACGCGUGAGAAUCUGCCCUUCAGUGGAGAAUACCUUCGAGAAAUCGGAGUUAAUACUGCAUACGUCCCUUCGGGGAGAAAGAUGGCCUCUUUGCUGUCGCUGAUGGAUGAGCUUGCGUACUAUUAGCUAGUUGGUGAGGUAAAGGCUCACCAAGGCGAUGAUGGUUAACCGGCCUGAGAGGGUGUUCGGUCACAUUGGAACUGAGAUACGGUCCAG